CGCGCAGGCGGCCAGGUCAGUCGAAUGUGAAAGCCCCCGGCUCAACUGGGGAGGGUCAUUCGAUACUGCCUGGCUUGAAGAUAGGAGAGGGAGGCGGAAUUCCAGGUGUAGUGGUGAAAUGCGUAGAUAUCUGAAGGAACACCAGUGGCGAAGGCGGCUUUCUGGCCUAUUCUUGACGCUGAGGCGCGAAAGCUAGGGGAGCGAACG
rnacentral:rRNA from 1 species